rnacentral:lncRNA from 1 species
GCACUCUAGCCUGGGCAGCAAGAGCGAAACUCCGUCUCCAAAAAAUAAAAUAAAAUAAAUAAAUAAAUAAAAACUAUAUAUCAGAUGACCCUGUUUUUGAAAAAAGUUGAAAAAGUAUUUUAAAGGGAUUAUUUCUGAAAGUUUGCAAAUUAAGGGGAUCUAGUUUCUUGUUUUUAUUCUUUUUUUUUUUUUUUUUAAGACAGAAUUUUGCUUUCGUCGCCCAGGCUGGAGUGCAAUGGCACAAUCUUGGCUCACUGCAACGUGCGCCUCCCAGGUUCAAGCAAUUCUCCUGCCUCAGCCUCCCCAGUAGCUGGGAUUACAGGCAUGCACCACUGCACCCAGCCCUAUUCUUUCUUUUCUUUUCUUUUUUUUUUGAGACGGAGUCUCGCUCUGCUGCCCCGGCUGGAGUGCAGUGACGCCAUCUCGGCUCACUGCAAGCUCUGCCUACUGGGUUCACGCCAUUCUCCUGCCUCAGCCUCCUGAGUAGCUGGGACUACAGGCGCCCGCCACAACGCCGGGCUGAUUUUUUGUAUUUUUUAGUAGAGACGGGGUUUCAUCUUGUUAGCCAGGAUGGUCUCAAUCUCCUGACCUCGUGAUCCACCCGCCUCGGCCUCCCAAAGUGCUGGGAUUACAGGCGUGAGCCACAGCGCCCGGCCUCCUAUUCUUUAUUUUCUGUAACAAACUUGUAGUUUAUAAUCAGGGACAAAUGUGACUAGAACUAUAUAUCUAACCCUUCCCUAAUUUCUCCACAUCUUUAAAAAACAAAACCCUUUACACAUAUGAAAAUAUCACAUUGUGGUGCUUGCCUGGGCAGCACAUAUACUAAAAUUGGAUACUGAUACAGAGAAGAUUAGCAUGGCCCCGAGCUCACAAAUUCGUGAAGUCUUCCAUUAAAAAAAAAAAAAAAAAAAAAAGGCCAGGCGCGGUGGCUCACGCCUGUAAUCCCAGUACUUUGGGAGGCCAAGGCGGGCGGAUCACGAGGUCAGGAGAUCGAGACUAUCCUGGCUAACACGGUGAAACCCCGUCUCUACUAAAAAUACAAAAAAUUAGCCGGGCGUGGUGGCAGGCGCCUGUGGUCCCAGCUACUCGGGAGGCUGAGACAGGAGAAUGGUGUGAACCCGGGAGGCGGAGCUUGCAGUGAGCCGAGAUGGCACCACUGCAGUCCGGCCUGGGCAACAGAGUGAGACUCCAUCUCAAAAAAAAAAAAAAAAGGCUGGGCGUGGUGGCACACGCCUGUAAUCCUAGCACUUUGGGAGGCUGAGGCAGGCGGAUGACGAGGUAAGAGAUCAAG